CUCCAGGGCACUGAAUUGAGAAGGUGCCGAGAGCAUUUGUAUUGCAGUUCUUCUGAAGCAUCGAAGAAAUAGAGUUUAGCACUUUUCUCUGCCCAUCCUACCCAUACCCCCAGAUGAAGACCAAGGAAGGGUCAUGCACCUGCAACCAUGUGAUGUUGGCCAUAUGCUACAGUUCUGUAUGCCUCAGGGGUGGGAGCAUGGCAGCAAUGGAACACAGAUUGGAGAGCUACCAGAUUCCUUAGAAGAAAACCCUUUUGGGAAGAUUAAAAACUGUCUAGGGGAGCAAGAAAGCUGCCCAAGUGAUAUCUAUGAAGUUCCCUGUCCUUCAGUUUCUCCAUAUAUGAGCAUAGCAGCAUAGCACUUUAUUCUCUCUCAGAAGAUGAGGCAAAAAGGACUUUGCACCAGGAUGCUGACAUCCAGAGGUUCAUACUUUCUUUCCUGGCACUCUUCAUCCCUGCUUCCUGGCUUUUUGCUGGCUUAAUCUCUUUGAUGUGCAACUAUCUGUGGGUGCUGCCACUAUAUCCAGAGUCUGUUGCCAUGGAACCUCCUUUGCAGAGAUCUCCUGCCUACCCCACCUCUAACUCUAUGUAAGUGAGGGUUGAACCACUCCCUUUCCUGGUGCAAGUGCAUCCCCAUUUCAUUCCCAUUUGGUCUUCUACUUCUCUUACUUGAUUUUCAAAAUCCUUUUUGAGCUCUUCUACAGCCCUAGACCAAUUUAUAUAUUUCUUGGAGGCUUUGGAUGGGAGCUUUGACUUUGUUGUCUUCUUCUGAGUGUAUGUUUUGAUCUUCCUUGUCACCGAAGUAAAUUUCUAUAGUCAGAGUUUUUUGCCCACUGUUUGCUCAUUUCCCCAGCCUAUUCCUUGACUUUUUAACUCUUUGUGAAAGAGUUAAACUCUGCUUCCAGUGUGGAG
rnacentral:lncRNA from 1 species